rnacentral:misc_RNA from 1 species
UUUUUUAAUAAAAAAGAAAGAGAGUUAAGCUUUGGUUGGGUUUAUCUGGUGAAGGAUAAAACAAAGUGGGUUGCUGGUGGUGAGGAAGAAGAGAAGGGUGGUGUCGUGGGUUUGAAGAUAAAGUAUGAAAGUGGCCAAAAGGAUUCAAAAAUCGAAAAUGAUGAGGAAAAUGAAGAAACAGUGGGAGAGGAGGCAACGAGUUUUGAUUUGCAUAGUGAGGACUCUGCGGAGAAGGACGAGGAGGUUGUCAUUGUUGGAUACAAUUUGGUUUCACCUCCCCCAUUCUUCACAAUCUCACCCUCUCUGCAACAUCUCACGUCCUAAAUUUGGCCCAUGGCUGUUGAUUUUCUAUGUGUUGAUUUUAGGGCUGUUUAUUUUGAAAUUAGUAUGUUUUGUUAGAUUUGGGAAUAAAUUUUUGGAUUUGUUAAUUUUUGUGAUGAUAUUUUUUUUUACUGUAUUUGAAAUGAGAUGGAUGUAUUUGUUAAUUUGGAAUGAGAAUGAGGAACAAUAUGAUAUCAUGGUUCUUCGUGAACUCAUCUAGGUUCUCCUCUCCCAUUUGGGUUUGUUGAUUUUCUCUUUGUUGGUUGUUGAUUGUGUUUCUAUUUAAUUUGUGUUUUUGGAAUUGAUUUGUUUUUUAGAUUAUAGAUUAAUGUCCUUUUGGGAUCAAUCUCUUCUUGAUUCUGAUAUUGAUCUCUUGUAGGCUUUUUGCAGAUGAGUUUUAAGAGG